UACGCAUAAUGAGAUAAUUUUUAAUCAUAUCCGAUAUCAGCUAAUUAAUCUAUAUCGCGUAGGUAAGUACUACUUUAUUUGCACAGAUAAUACAGAUAAGAUGCUUAAAAUCUCUUCGAAAGACUUUGCAAUAGCCUACAUAGGUAUUAUUUUGUAGACGUGGAAGAAAAAACUCUUUCUUGAAUAUGCGUGUCUUACAAAUAUAGUAGUCUAUCCGUAUUUUUUCCAAUUUUUCAUUUCUAUGUAAAAGGCAGCCUCGGUUUCGGAAUCAAUAAUUGAAAAGUUGAAUUUCAAUGGUCACCAGCGUAAUCGUGUACCUAUUAUACAUAAUUACGUUGGUGACCAUUAAAAUUAAAUUUUUCAACUGAUUCGAAAACCAAGGCUGCUUUGUGAAAAUGAAAACGUAGGAAAAUAAAGUUCAUCGAUGUGAUCCAUCUACAGGAUAACCAUAUAAAGCAAAUAGAACCGCAUGUGCGGAGGAACAUCUAGAGAGUAUUCAUGUUACACAGUACACUGUAUUUGUAUUCAGCGGUCUAUUUGACAUACCUAUAGUCACAGAAAAGCAGAAAGUCUACGAAGUUGAAAAGGAGAGCGCCGAGCCAAAAUCAAAUUUGGAAACGUUAACGUUUCUAAAGUUGAUUCAUUGAGGUAACUCUGUAGUUUUGGAAACGAUUUCAGUAAAUUAUUUCCAAAACUACAGACUCGUGAGUUACAUCAAUGAAGCUGAGAAACCUCAUCAUAAAACACCAGAUGCUUAUUAUUACGUCCAAAUCAGCUCCUCUUGGAUAAAAUGUGGAUGAACUAGACGCUACCCGGAUUUUAGCUGCUCAAAUGUCCUCGUCUCCUGAAGAAAUCCAAGGUGGUCACCUCAAGAGGUUUCAUUGAUCAAUGCUAAGCUCAAAUUUGUCGUAAUAAAAUUUGAUUAUUAUUCCUCGUGUAUUCGUAGCCUUUUCAAAUUACAAAUUAAAUUGAAA